rnacentral:rRNA from 1 species
GACGAACGCUGGCGGCGUGCUUAACACAUGCAAGUCGAACGGAAAGGCCCUGCUUUUGGGGGGUGCGCGAGUUGCGAAGUGGUGAGUAACACGUGGGUAACCUGCCCUUGACUUUGGGAUAACUUCAGGAAACUUAGUGUAAUACCGGAUAGGAGCUCCUGCUGCUGGGUGGGGGUGGGAAAGUUUCGGCGGUUGGGGAUGGACUCGCGGCUUAUCAGCUUGUUGGUGGGGUAGUGGCUUACCAAGGCUUUGACGGGUAGCCGGCCUGAGAGGGUGACCGGCCACAUUGGGACUGAGAUACGGCCCAGACUCCUACGGGAGGCAGCAGUGGGGAAUAUUGCACAAUGGGCGGAAGCCUGAUGCAGCAACGCCGCGUGCGGGAUGACGGCCUUCGGGUUGUAAACCGCUUUCGCCUGUGACGAAGCGUGAGUGACGGUAAUGGGUAAAGAAGCACCGGCUAACUACGUG